GGAAUUUUGGACAAUGGGCGAAAGCCUGAUCCAGCAAUGCCGCGUGAGUGAAGAAGGCCUUCGGGUUGUAAAGCUCUUUUGUCAGGGAAGAAACGGUGAAAGCUAAUAUCUUUUGCUAAUGACGGUACCUGAAGAAUAAGCACCGGCUAACUACGUGCCAGCAGCCGCGGUAAUACGUAGGGUGCAAGCGUUAAUCGGAAUUACUGGGCGUAAAGCGUGCGCAGGCGGUUUUGUAAGUCUGAUGUGAAAUCCCCGGGCUCAACCUGGGAAUUGCAUUGGAGACUGCAAGGCUAGAAUCUGGCAGAGGGGGGUAGAAUUCCACGUGUAGCAGUGAAAUGCGUAGAUAUGUGGAGGAACACCGAUGGCGAAGGCAGCCCCCUGGGUCAAGAUUGACGCUCAUGCACGAAAGCGUGGGGAGCAAACAGGAUUAGAUACCCGGG
rnacentral:rRNA from 1 species